ACCAGAUUAGACAGCUGAAAUAAUAGAGGAGGAUGACCAUUGUUUUGUGGCAUUGUACUACAGAAAUUGAUCAUAUUCGACUCUAGUACAAGUAACGGUUUAUCAGUCAUUUUGUAGACUUAGCAACAACACCAAAAGUGAUACCACCGUGUUUACAUGAACUUUAAGAGAAGAAGGGUCCUAGGAUUUUGCCAAAUACUUCAAAGACAGAGUGUCCAAGCUAUUUUUUCUCUUUGGACAAAA
rnacentral:misc_RNA from 1 species